GUUCCACCUCCAGCUGCAGUGAUGGGCUCAUCAGUGAAGGCGUUCCUCCUCAUCACGGGUCAGACUCACGGAGCUGACCAGCAGAUCCUGGAGCAGCUGGAGAGGCAGGGACUGAGAGUCAGAUCAGUCGACCUACAGAAGAGCGAUGUCAUCCUCCUCUUCUGUCCCAUCCUGUCCCGGGUCCGCUCCGACGUAGAGGUGGCUUUCAGAAAGAUCCCAGUUCCACCUCCAGCUGCAGUGAUGGGCUCAUCAGUGAAGGCGUUCCUCCUCAUCACGGGUCAGACUCACGGAGCUGACCAGCAGAUCCUGGAGCAGCUGGAGAGGCAGGGACUGAGAGUCAGACCUACAGUCGACCUACAGCAGAGCGAUGUCAUCCUCCUCUUCUGUCCCAUCCUGUCGCGGGUCCGCUCCGACGUGGAGGCGGUUUUCAGAAAGAUCCCAGGUAAGCGUCACUCCUGACCUGAGUAAU
rnacentral:lncRNA from 1 species